UCCACUUGCUGAGCACUCUGCAGAGCUCAACAGGCGGCCCGGAUUCGGUCUCGGGAUCCUCCUCGGAGCCAGAGGAAUUCCAGCUUUGGUUGUCCGACAUGGAGUCGCGUCCCUCGGUCACUCUCCAACGAAGAACAAAAUCAUCCACCUCUUCUAUGAAAAAGCAUGUACUUUUUCAGGGAGUAGUCACUGUGACAAAGAGAAAUGGAAGACAAAGAAAAAAAACAUGCAGGCAGCAUCAACAAGUGUAGGACAGGGUGAGGUUCAGCUAAUGCUCUCUCCGGCUUUUCUCUGGACAAAAAGGCAAGAAUCCAACUCCAAAGCCCCCCGAAAACUUGAAUGGCAGGU